rnacentral:rRNA from 1 species
AAAGAUGAAUCAAAGAAGGUAAUAAUCCUGUAGUCGAAAAUGUUGUCUCUCUUGAGUGGAUCCUGAGUACGACGGAGCACGUGAAAUUCCGUCGGAAUCUGGGAGGACCAUCUCCUAAGGCUAAAUACUCUCUAGUGACCGAUAGUGAACCAGUACCGUGAGGGAAAGGUGAAAAGCACCCCGGAAGGGGAGUGAAAUAGAACCUGAAACCGUGUGCUUACAAGUAGUCAGAGCCCGUUAAUGGGUGAUGGCGUGCCUUUUGUAGAAUGAACCGGCGAGUUACGAUUUGAUGCAAGGUUAAGCAGUAAAUGUGGAGCCGUAGCGAAAGCGAGUCUGAAUAGGGCGUUUAGUAUUUGGUCGUAGACCCGAAACCAGGUGAUCUACCCUUGGUCAGGUUGAAGUUCAGGUAACACUGAAUGGAGGACCGAACCGACUUACGUUGAAAAGUGAGCGGAUGAACUGAGGGUAGCGGAGAAAUUCCAAUCGAACCUGGAGAUAGCUGGUUCUCUCCGAAAUAGCUUUAGGGCUAGCCUCAAGUGAUGAUUAUUGGAGGUAGAGCACUGUUUGGACGAGGGGCCCCUCUCGGGUUACCGAAUUCAGACAAACUCCGAAUGCCAAUUAAUUUAACUUGGGAGUCAGAACAUGGGUGAUAAGGUCCGUGUUCGAAAGGGAAACAGCCCAGACCACCAGCUAAGGUCCCAAAAUAUAUGUUAAGUGGAAAAGGAUGUGGCGUUGCCCAGACAACUAGGAUGUUGGCUUAGAAGCAGCCAUCAUUUAAAGAGUGCGUAAUAGCUCACUAGUCGAGUGACACUGCGCCGA